CCCUGGUUAGCUUAGUUGGUAGAGCGCUCCACUUGUAAUGGAGAGGUCCCGGGUUCGAUACCCGGACCAGGCG
rfam:Ixodes scapularis strain Wikel colony gcontig_1107728841502, whole genome shotgun sequence.